UUAUAGCCCUGAUGGGAGCGGCAUCCUUUUUUUGGUGACUGAGGUUCUCGAAGGCAUCAAAAAAAGAUAAAGCGGACAGCAGGAAAACGG
rnacentral:sRNA from 1 species